rnacentral:lncRNA from 1 species
CCUCACAAUUCUUUUUGCCUUAAUUUUCAAGUGAAAUAGAUCAAUAAGAUAAUCAUUAUUCUUAUGAUAUUGCCAUUAUGAACACUUAAAAAGGCGAUAAAUUUGAUCCUGUAGACUGGAUUGAAUCAAAGAUUCAUUCUUCAGCCUAUUGGAAGAAAGUGUGUUAAAUUUAUUUAUCUGCAACGGCUGAAUGACAUAUCUUGUUUCUAGAAUUACAAAUCUUGGAGCCAUGUAAAUUGGAUGUAUAGACAAAAUCGGAAAGCAAAAGUUUCUCACCUUUGUCUUGGGUUGGUCGCUUGGUUU